UGCUUUUGCAAUUCUUAGAUACCAAAAGCUACAAGAGGGUGAAUUAGGUGAAGAGAAUGUGGCCAGGUCAUUGACAACCAAUCCAGCUGCAAAAUAUGUUAUUCUUGACGAGAUGGAUGAUCAAGAUGAAGGCCCAUGGGAGCUUGGUAAUCAUACAGUUGAAUCUGAUAAAUAAACUUCGGACCGUACAGACAAAAUGUUAUCCGGAGGGGGUUGAUAAUUCUCAUGUUGGCUCAGUGGAGAAGCUUGUAAGAUUGCACCGGCAUAUUGAUAUCUUCAUUCUUCAACCUUUUUCUGUUCUGUUUCUGCGGUUCUUCUAUCAAUUUGGUGGUGGAGAAAAGGAAGUUGUAGAUUUAGAGUGUCGAGACAACUUUUAUUCAACCUUCUGUCCACAGUUAUUAGCUGGUCGAGCCCAUUCAUUAUGGGAUAGUUUACUUUAUAUGCCGUCGAUUGUACAUUUUAUUUUACAUCGAGAUGCGAAAUGCAUUCUAUGAUAUUCAUUAAAUUUUUGUCCCUGCUAGUUGUUCAGAUGUUGAGAACUUAGAUAUAGGAAUACCUUAAGUGCACUUUUCUUCCUUUUCCUUUUGUCCUAAAUGUUGUUUUCGAUCUUGGAUUUGAGGGAUUUGUGGAGGUUUCUAUGUAUUUUGCUCAUGAUAUUCUAUUGAUAAAAUUGAAGUAGGGUUAAAUGCUAUA